UCAAGAUACAAGAUUUUGUCUCAAAAAAUGCAAUAAAUAUCUGUUUCUUGGCUCCUUCACGAACUCAGCUAAGUGACCCCAACAGCUACGAGUAGUCUGCCACAGAAAGGGCUGGGGGACUGGAGGUGCUGUCACUUGUCUGCCACAGAAAGGGCUGGGGGACUGGAGGUGCUGUCACUUGCAAAAUCACAUAUAUUACAGUGCAAGGAGAAAACAAU